CUGGCAGUUGUCUUCUGGAAAAAUAAAACCUGACAUUUUAAUGUGGGCCCUUCGUACGAAAGGAGGUUUAGAAAGCGGAGAGAGCUGAAAACCACACACAAAACGAGGAGAAGGGGGAAAAAUUAGACCGAGGAAACAUCUGCUAAAGUUUUCCUGUUAUUUCAGGAAUGUUUGUGUAACUCAAGCAUUCCCUAACUCUUCGUAUCUUCGCUAAAAGAUUGCCUGGUGUCCCGCUCCCCAUCGCGUAACCUCUCUCCCCACUUGCGUUUGCUUACACAGGAAGGCCGUGGCAGGAAUGUGCUUAAUGUAUCUGAGCUUUGCUUUAAUGGGGCCGAGCAGCUGGAGACGAGCCGGGUGUUUCUCCAGCGUGCUGCUAGCAGCGGCUUUGCCAGGCACAACUGGAGCCCCCCCGAACCUCCCUGUCUCCCCCCGCAGCUGUUAAAGCACACACGGACUUCUGCAGCCCUCCGGAACGUAAAACUGAAGCCCUGCACAUUCAGCAGAGAGAAAACACCCACAGAACCGAGGCUGCCUUGUGUUUCUUGUUAGAAAGUAAUGCAAAAGGCUGGCCUCGUUAAACUUUUAGUAGCAGUUCUGUGCAUAGAGAGCGCUGAAUACUGAUCUGAUUAUUGAAUUUGCUCAGAUCUCGGUGAAAUGGUAAUAGAUGGAGUGCAUUACACUGAGGAUAAAAGGUAAAGACUCACUUGGAUUGUCCUGGUGCCAUCAUAAAUGAAUCAUCACUUCGCUAUUAAGACCCGUACUCGAUCAUGCAAUUUGGAGCAUAUUGAAAAGAAGCACUGGCUGAUUCAUGCAGCAGGAGCAGAGCAGAGGCAUUUGCUUGCUUGUUCCCAGUGAAACAUCCUGGAUGCUGGGGGGAGCUGGGAACACUUCGGUUGCAAAGCUGCAACUUUUCCUGCUGGAUGUGGAGACCUCCAGGCCCCAGGGAGCACAGAACAGCCGAAAUGAAGCCUACUCCAACUGCUCAAUCCAUGUCUGGAUCUGCCCCCUGGGCUGAGGACAAGGACGGGCCUCGGCACCCAGGCCUGUGCUGACCCGGCUCCGGCAGCAGCGGUGCAGGAACAGGAAACCAUUUUUCUCCUCUUCAAGGUUUUGGUGUAAUUUGAGAACCAAGCCCCAUGCAGAUCGGAACACGUUGGUAAUGUCUGGAAAGUAAUUAUGGCAUAUAUUAUUAUUUUAAUAUUUACUAAGUGCUGACAGUACAAUGCCUUUAUUAAAACUUUGGGGGAGGGUGAAAUACGCACCACAAAGCAUGGCGGGAUGAGGGUAGUCGUCUGAAAUUGCUCAUUUAUAUUUCAAUUUUACAGUCACUUUCCUGUGACCUACUUUUAAUCAUACAUUGUUUUCUUUGCGGCUUAAAUCAUGUAAGGUGGUUAAUGAUUUUAAUUUAAAGUUCUCUGAGGAAGAAUGUAAAUAAUACUUCUGCCUAGUGGAGGCAGGCUGUGAACUUCUUAUUGAGAAGCAAUUUAUCACUGUAUUGAAGAGCAAUGGAAGAGGUUUAACUUCGCCAGAAGCUGGAAGUCUUUCUUUUCACUUGUUCUGACCAUGUAAGAGCAAUAUGCCAAGGGUUAUCAGGAGAGCUCUGUGUUAAAAAAUAAAUUGAUGAGACUGGAUUACUUUUGGCCUUUG
rnacentral:lncRNA from 1 species